CUACGGGGUGCUGCAGUGAGGGAUAUUGCACAAUGGGGGAAACCCUGAUGCAGCAACGCCGCGUGGGUGAUUGAAGGCUUUCGAGUCGUAAAACCCUUUUCUGAGGGAAGAGCAAGGACGGUACCUCAGGAAUAAGUCCCGGCUAACUACGUGCCAGCAGCCGCGGUAAAACGUAGGGGGCGAGCGUUAUCCGGAAUUAUUGGGCGUAAAGCGCGUGUAGGCGGUCUGGUAGGUUGGACGUGAAAGCUCCUGGCUCAACUGGGAGAGGCCGUUCAAAACCGUCAGGCUUGAGGGCGGAAGAGGGGAGUGGAAUUCCCGGUGUAGUGGUGGAAUGCGUAGAUAUCGGGAGGAACACCUGUGGCGAAAGCGGCUCCCUGGACCGUUUCUGACGCUCAGACGCGAAAGCGUGGGUAGCGAACGGGAUUAGAUACCCCAGUAGUC
rnacentral:rRNA from 1 species